rnacentral:rRNA from 1 species
CUGUCGAGCGGUACACGAGAGCUUGCUCUCUGGUGACAAGCGGCGGACGGGUGAGUAAUGUCUGGGAAACUGCCUGAUGGAGGGGGAUAACUACUGGAAACGGUAGCUAAUACCGCAUAAUGUCUCAAGACCAAAGUGGGGGACCUUCUGGCCUCUUGCCCUCUCAUGUGCCCCCAUGGGAUUAUCUAUUAGGUGGGGUAACGGCUCACCUAGGCGACAAUCCCUAUCUGGGCUGAGAGGAUGACCACCCACACUGGAACUGAGACACGGUCCACACUCCUACGGGAGGCGGCAGUGGGGAAUAUUGCGCAAUGGGCGCAAGCCUGAUGCACCCAUGCCGCGUGUGUGAAAAAAGCCUUCUGGUUGUAAAGCACUUUCUCCGGGGAGGAAGGCGGUGAGGUUAAAUAACCUUUUCCAUUGACGUUACCCGCAGAAAAAACACCGGCUAACUCCGUGCCACCACCCGCGGUAAUACGGAGGGUGCGAGCGUUAAUCUGAAUUACUGGGCGUAAAGCGCACGCACGCGGUCUGUCAAGUCUGAUGUGAAAUCCCCGGGCUCUACCUGGGAACUGCGUUUCAAACUGGGAGGCUAUAGUCUUGUAUAGGGGGGUAGAAUUCCCCGUGUAUCGGUGAAAUGCGUAUAGAUCUGGAGGAAUACCGGUGGCGAAAGCGGCCCCCUGGACAAAGACUGACACUCUCGUGCGAAAGCGUGGGGAGCAAACAGGAUUAUAUACCCUGUUAGUCCACGCCGUAAACGAUGUCUAUUUGUAGGUUGUGCCCUUGUGGCGUGGGUUCUGGAGCUAACACGUUAUAUCUACCCCUGGGGAGUACUGCCGCACGUUAAAAUCAAAUGAAUUGAGGGGGGCCCGCACAACGGUGGAGCAUGUGGUUUAAUUCUAUGCGCGCGAAGAACCUUAUCUGGUCUUGUCAUCUCCAGAACUUUUCCCAGAUGUUAUGGUGCCUCUGGAACAGUGAGACAGGGCUGCAUGGCUGGUCGUCAUCCUCCUGGUGUGAAAGUUGGGUAAUCCCCCACAGCGCCAACCCCUUAUCUUCUUUUUGCCACCGGUUCGCGCCGGGACUCCAAGAGAAUGCUCACUGGUAAUACAGCGGAGGAAAGGGGGGGAGAACUGUCAAUACUCAUGGGCCCUCAUACAACAGGUUACAAGUCUCCAUGCAUACAAAGAAAGCGACCUCCCGACAGCGACCCCUAAAAGGAUGCUAAUCGUGUAUGAGACUGCCCU